UUGGGGGACAAGAGCGAGACUUCGUCUGAAAACAAACAAACAAAAAAAAAGGAAAAAAAAAGACCCAAAGUCAUGUCCACCCAGUUAGCCUCAACUAGAGCAAUGUGAACUUACCAGCCAAUGGUCAAAGUUCUUGCUCAAAAAAGAAGGGGCAGUUAGGGACAGAGAUUCUGGGGUCCUGGCACAUUGAGUAGACUCUUCCCCAUCCCAUGUGCCUGCAAAGAAUGAUGAAGUAGUGGCUGAUAUAGCUGCUCCCGUAACCAGCCAUACUAAAGCUUGAUUCUACCCGCCACCUGCAAGUGGAAAGGAGAAUUCCAUGUUGAAAUGGAAUUCAGGGCCCAAAGCUGUAAACAGCAUUCUAUUGUCAGCUUGUGUCAUACCAGGAAACUCUAACACAUGACAAAGAUAAUCAUCACAGUCUUAAGAGUUUGGGUGCUAUCGGCCAGGCGUGGUGGCUCAUGCCUGUAAUCCCAGCACUUUGGGAGGCCGAGGCGGCUGGAUCACGAGGU
rnacentral:lncRNA from 1 species